GGUCGCGUGGCCCAAUGGCAAGGCGCUUGACUACGAUUCAGACUUGAAAUCAAGAGAUUCUGGGUUCGAUCCCCAGCGUGACCU